AGAACGAACGCUGGCGGCGUGGAUAAGACAUGCAAGUCGAACGCGAUUUAUCAGGUUAGCAAUAACUUGGUAAAUUGAGUGGCGAAAGGGUGCGUAACACGUGGGAAAUUACCAAGAAGUGGGGAAUAGCUCGACGAAAGUCGAAUUAAUACCGCAUAUGAUCGCAAGAUCAAAGCCGGGGACCGCAAGGCCUGGCGCUUUUUGAGAUGCCCGCGGCCCAUCAGCUAGUUGGCGGGGUAACGGCCCACCAAGGCUAUGACGGGUAGCUGGUCUGAGAGGACGGCCAGCCACACUGGAACUGAGACACGGUCCAGACACCUACGGGUGGCAGCAGUCGAGAAUUUUUUCACAAUGGACGAAA
rnacentral:rRNA from 1 species